GGAUUACAGGCGUGAGCCACUGCGCCCGGCCCAGCUUUUUUUUUUUUUUUGUAGAAAAAGAGAGAAGAAAUUGAAAAUUAUGACAGUGGGUUUGGAGUUUCUCCUGUAAGUGAUUGGGAGCCAUUGAAGGAUUACAAGUAGUUGAAUAAAUCAAAAUAGUUUUUGAGAAGGAAGUUUCCCUGGAAGAAUGAUGCAUGAGUGUAAGUGAAUGAGAAUAACAUUUACAGGAAAUCUUAGAGUGAGAGGACAUAAUUUUCUCCUUCCAAUAUCUCCUUCUGGCUGACUAAGAUAAAAUGGAUAAAUGGUCUUGAAGGACUCUUCGAGGAGAACUACAAACCACUGCUCAAUGAAAUA
rnacentral:lncRNA from 10 species